rnacentral:rRNA from 1 species
CAGUAGCCGCGGGAAUACAGAGGGUGCAAGCGUUAAUCGGAUUUACUGGGCGUAAAGGGCGCGUAGGUGGUUAUUUAAGUGAGAUGUGAAAUCCCCGGGCUUAACCUGGGAACUGCAUCUUAUACUGGGUAACUGGAGUGCAGUAGAGGGUAGUGGAAUUUCCGGUGUAGCGGUGAAAUGCGUAGAUAUCGGAAGGAACACCAGUGGCGAAGGCGGCUACCUGGACUGAGACUGACACUGAGGCGCGAGAGCGUGGGGAGCAAACAGGAUUAGAUACCCCCGUAGUCCCUGUCUCUUAUAC